UGGACAGCCGGCCACUCAGGGGGAACAGCUUCUGCUUUCUGCUCACUGCUACAAAUGCCAUUGCAUUAAGAAUUAUUGCCAUUACGGAGGGUGCUAUGGUUGCAUGAGUAUAAAUAGGCACAGCGCUAGUAAAAGACGCUCAAGGAUAAAUAGCAUAGGUACCGGAUUUUGAAAGACCAAAAUAACUCCAUGCUGUGCACUGAAAGUACACACUGCUGCUGUGUACCUGCUGUCACAGCCUUGCCUUCCCCUGAAUGGCAAAAAGCACGCACAACUUCAAAGCCAUGGAGCUCCUUUCUGUCCCUGUGAGGCUGAGAAGGUGGGACGUGGCGCACACCUGGAGGUAAAAAGGCAUCACAAGCAUCACACCCAUCCCCUGGUGAGGAGCAACUAAGGUGAUGGUGUCGGCUCUCUGCACAAAGGAGCUGCUAUUUCUCCUGCGCUGGCUGGUUGGUAGGUGCUGCUUGGCUUUGAGAGGGAGAUGAGCAGCAGAACAAACAGAAGUAAUGAGAAACAUCUUCAGAGCUCUGUCAAGGAUCCCUGAACCUUUUGUCUAGCUGAGAGGGCAAAGGAGAUGGAGUAAAAUGGUGGACCCCAGGCAGAGGAGGGACACCGGCAGGACCAUGAAACAAGAUGGUGCCUUUCACCACUGCAGCAUCUGUUAAGUCCCCACUUGGCUGGGAGCAACAAAAAGCCAUAUUACCAAAGGCAUAUGGAAGCGUUAUUCUCCUGUGCAGCAAAUUUAACUGCAUGAAUGCAGGUACGAAUCCACAUAAAAAAUGGACAAAACCUGUUAUUUGCUGAUGAAGUGCUGCUUUUGGCCUAUCUUUCUUGCAGAGGAAAGCAAGCAGGCUCAGACUGCUUUUUCCCUGUAUAUCAGACACCAGCCCCUAGCAGAACAAGACAAACCAACGGGACCACAAUGAACUUGCAAGAGCUCCAGGCCCUGCCACGUUGGCUCGGACUGCUGAGCCCUGUAGCAUUGCUGCUGUGAGUGCUGCCUUCAUGAGUUACCGCUCUGAACCCCUCCAGAACAAAAGUGGAAUGGAUGAAGCCUACAUUGCUUCUUUCCAUACCUCAACUACACAAAAUGACACAAAAAAACUACACAUCUUGGUGGAUCUCCCUGCUCUGCAAUGCCACCUCUCUCCUAAGCACAAAGCCUGAAACCUCUCAGGGCAGGGUUUCCUUCAUUAAUCAUCAGGCAGACUUUUUUUUUUUUUUUUUCCAUUUCUUUUUCCAUCUCUGAGUUGCAAAUUUUCUUGCCAACUUUCUUCUUGGUGUGAAUUUCUACAACAGGGCAAUAUAACUUCUGAAAAUAGACACGUACACUGGAAAGCCUGACACACCCUAUAUGGAGCCUGUGAGUGGCAGAACCAUAAUCAAAAGCCAAUCAAGACACUAGGCAAUGCUAGCAGCAUUCAAUUACAGUUCUGAGCAGAUCAGCCCUAAGAGAAGAAAGUAAAUGGGAACUCAAUAAAUGCUGUUGCAUAGAA